GUGCACGUCUUCGGUAUCUGCGACAGCGAGAGAGAGAGAUUGAAAGAGAGAGAGAGAGGGUGGUGCACGUCUUCGGUAUCAGCGAGAAAGAGAGCGAGAGGGCGGUGCACGUCUUCGGUAUCAGCGAGAGUGAGAGAUUGAAAGAGAGAGAGGAUGGUGCACGUCUUCGGUAUCAGCUAGAGAGAGAGCGAGAGGGCGGUGCACGUCUUCGGUAUCUGCGAGAGAGAGAGG
rnacentral:lncRNA from 1 species